rnacentral:tRNA from 1 species
GCCGCCGCCUCGUGCGGGAUGGCGCCGCGCGUCGGCUUCAGCCCGGCGAUGCCGGCCGAGGCCGACGGCCCGCGGAUCGACCCUGCCCCGUCGGUACC